UCUUUUGCUGGAGAUUUCUGCUUACCUGAGGUCUUCUAAAGAAAAAGCUGUAUCAUUGCAUAGCCAGUUCUCUCUCUUGAAACAUUUGUCUUAAGAAUCUUCUAAAGUUCAGCUGCAUAAAAAGACAAGGCAAUGCAUAAGGUUUUCAGAGAACUCACACCUCUGUUUCAGUUACCCAAGAUCUUUUGAGUGUUGUUAUCCAGAGCCCAGCACUGCAGAUGUAAAAAUGAAAAUUUCCUUAACGAAACAGCUGUGUCCUGCCUGCAGCCUGAAGAAGAAUGGCAUUAGUCACAUGCAGUUCAACACAUAGCACAAUUGUAAAGUUCACUCUAUGAGACUGACAGGAGCUAUUCACAUCGGCCCCCUCCACCAUCUGCCUGAAUGGCAGCGGCUGUGGGGCGGUGACAGCCCCCCCGCCUGCCCCAGUGCUCAGGGCCUGCUCAGAGUCUGUCCCCAUGUGCGGCAAAUGGGGGGUGAAAGCAACGAGAGGAUGUCACUCAGGUCAAAGCAGAUUGUCAAGAGAAAAAAAAAAAAAUGGGGAGGGGAGAGUCAAAGCUGGUGGGAGUACCGAUUUGCUGUUCUCCUGGGGGAAAGGUGUUGGCUCCAACUUGGUGAGAAGCAAAGAGAACAGCUGAGUCUGGGGAGAAAUCCUAUAUCUCUCUCCUUCCUCGCUUCCUGAGCUUAGAGGACUUGGAUUUGGGAAUGAGCUCUGAGUCCAGAGGGCAACCUGCUGCAGGCUUGAACACAGUCAGUGUCCCCUCUUGGUAUGCUGCAGGACCCCUCCUGCAGUCUGGGAAGGUCAGACUGGAUGAAGGCGUGAGGCUCAUUUUCAUCCUAUCACCUGUUUUUCCUUCUCAUUUCCAGAUGGUGACUUCUCUUCUCAAAGCAGAAACUUCGGCCAUCAAACCAUGGGGUGUGUGGCCCAGUAUUCCUAAAAUCCUUUCCUCUCCAAUUGCAGUAACUCCUAAGGUCACCCAGUUCUUGCAGUAUGAUGUUAAACAACAUCUCCCACUUUUAUGCCACUGGUGUAUCAUUAACAUUACAUCUCCUUUUCUCUCCUCACCUCUUCAAUACACAACAAACUGAAACCUUUGGUGAAUUUCUAAAGAAAGUUUUUUGACAAUUUCUAAGAAGCCUUAUUUUUAAGUAAAAAUCUGUUUACUGCAAUUUUUUUUU
ensembl:lncRNA